AUGGGGAAAAUCUACUGUGUCAAACCACAGCCACGUGAACAUUCUGGACAAGCUGGCAAUUACUACAUUCCAGCGGAACCAAAACUGGCAUUCGUGAUCAGGAUGAGAGGUACCGAUGUUGUCAGCAAGGUGUUGCAGCUUCUUCACCUGCAUCUGAUUUUUAAUGGCACAUUUGUAAAACUCAAAGCUUCUAUCAACAUGUUGCGGAUUGUAGAACCCUACAUUGCAUGGCGUUAUCCCAAUCUGAAGUCUGUGCAGGAGCUGAUCUACAAGCGUGGUUAUGGCAAGAUCAACAAGCAGCGCAUUGCUUUUGCUGAUAAUCGCCUGAUUCAGAAAUGCCUUAGAAACUUGGCAUCAUCUGCAUGGAAGAUGUGAUCCAUGAAAUUUACACUGUUGAAAAGAACUUCAAAGUUGUGAACAACUUCCUUUGGCCCUUCAAAUUAUUCUCUCCUUGGGGUGGAAUGAAGAAGAAAACAAUCCACUUCAUGGAAGGUGGGGAUGCUGGUAACAGAGAAGAUCAGAUCAACAGACUGAUAAGGAGAAUGAAUUAAUGAUUCAGAUGCCCAGCUACAAUCUUUCAAACUUUGGUCUGAUAAUAAAACCAUCUUGC